rnacentral:rRNA from 3 species
CGCCUGUUUAUCAAAAACAUGUCUUUUUGUUACAAAAACAUAAAAAGUCAGACCUGCCCAGUGAAUUUAUUUAAACGGCCGCGGUAUUUUGACCGUGCAAAGGUAGCAUAAUCAAUUGUCUUAUAAUUGAAGACUAGAAUGAACGGUUAAACGAAAUUAAAACUGUAUCAUUUAUAUUAAUUAAAAAUUGACUUUUAAAUGAAGAGAUUUAAAUUUUAUUAAAAGACAAGAAGACCCUAUUGAGCUUAAAAUAACUUUAAAAACAAAUAAUUAUUAUAAAAAUCCUAAUUUUUAUAUACUUUUUAGUUGGGGCGACUAAGGAACACAUAAAGCUUCCUUUAUUUAUUAAAUCAAUAAAUUAUGAUCCAGUACCACUGAUUAACAGAAAUAGUUACCAUAGGGAUAACAGCAUAAUCUUCUUAAAGAGUUCUUAUCAAAAAGAAGGGUUGUGACCUCGAUGUUGGAUUAAAAUAUCCUAAAGGUGAAGAAGCUUUUAAAGGUUGGUCUGUUCGACCAUUAAAAUUUUACGUGAUCUGAGUUCAGACCGG